rnacentral:rRNA from 1 species
AUACGUAGGUGGCAAGCGUUGUCCGGAUUUAUUGGGCGUAAAGCGAGCGCAGGCGGUUUCUUAAGUCUGAUGUGAAAGCCUUCGGCUUAACCGGGGAGGGUCAUUGGAAACUGGUGGACUUGAGUGCAGGAGAGGAGAGUGGAAUUCCACGUGUAGCGGUGAAAUGCGUAGAGAUGUGGAGGAACACCAGUGGCGAAGGCGGCUCUCUGGCCUGUAACUGACGCUGAGGCGCGAAAGCGUGGGGAGCAAACAGGAUUAGAUACCCUGGUAGUCCACGCCGUAAACGAUGAGUACUAGGUGUCGGGGGUUACCCCCCUCGGUGCCGCAGCUAACGCAUUAAGUACUCCGCCUGGCAAGUACGCUCGCAAGAGUGAA